CGCUGUAAGCUCUAAGACAGGCA
rnacentral:piRNA from 1 species